AUACGGAGGAUCCGAGCGUUAUCCGGAUUUAUUGGGUUUAAAGGGUGCGCAGGCGGGAGAUUAAGUCGGCGGUGAAAUUUUUCAGCUCAACUGUAAAAGUGCCUUCGAAACUGGUUUCCUUGAGUGUAGAUGAAGUAGGCGGAAUUUGUGGUGUAGCGGUGAAAUGCAUAGAUAUCAAGAGGAACUCCGAUUGCGCAGGCCGCUUAUUAAACUAUGACUGACGCUCAGGCACGAAGGCGUGGGGAUCAAACAGGAUUAGAUACACUGGUAGUGCAAGCAGUAAACGAUGAUUACUAGCUGUUUGCGAUACAAUGUAAGCGGCUGAGCGAAAGCGUUAAGUAAUCCACCUGGGGAGUACGUUCGCAAGAAUGAAACACAAAGGAAUUGACGGGG
rnacentral:rRNA from 1 species